rnacentral:lncRNA from 1 species
AUCUAAGGAAGAUGUAAGAGGGUAAAAUUAUGAAGAUAAAUGCAAUUACCUGGGGAACCUGGACAAAAUUUUACCCCCUACCUGUGGUCCUGAGAUCCACACAGCCAGUCAAUCAACGGGCUCCAUCUGAAGGGCUCACUCUUCCCCAAGCCUGGCCUCCUGAGGUACUCCUGCCUCUUCUGUCCCUGGAACUUGGAACAUGAGGCAGGAGGCGGGAAGGUGAAGGAAGAAAGAAGAAACAGAUCACACUGGUCCCCGCCCUGGUCACCAAGGCACACGUAAGCCUGCUCUGAGGGAACGAGAGAAGCUUUAAAUUAUAUGUCAUCUUGAAGUUUGAAAAAGGACAGAAUGAGGCUUUUGAAUGCCUGAAAGGGACUCUACAUUGUCAAAAAGGAGUAAAAGAGAUUGGACAGCUAUGGAACCUGCCCAAGAUGUCAUCGAGAGGCAAAGAAGGGAAAUGAGAUAAAGCAUGAAGGAAAUGGUAAGAGGAC